CUGCAUUUUCCAACCAGACGUUGCAUCCAUAUUCAAAUAAAUUUGACAAGUAGUUUCGCUGUUGCUUGAAUCUAUUGUCCAUCCCAUAAAUUGCACAUGCCUGAACACUGUCGCCUCUGAUCCUCUGACUGUCUUCGAUUUCGAGACCAAGAAUGUAAUUACCUGAAUAAAGGAAUAUUUACAAUUACAUGUCAUCAUUAUUAUUCGUAAACGUCAGGGUUGUGUUCGACUUCGAUUUAGAGGCUAGGCUCCGAUGAAAUGUCAAAGGUGUGUCACGAGUUUUUAAUUAGUGAGUUUUUAGCAAUUGUGUCGAUAGCAAUACGGUUUUUCACUGGACUGAUGAAACUAGAAGGUAUUAUAAUUGAUCCAACCCAUUGCGAACUGUCGUCAGUUCUCUUCUAUUCUUCCAAUUUCCUCAUGGGAUACUUAAUCACC
rnacentral:misc_RNA from 1 species